rnacentral:rRNA from 1 species
GGACCCGCACAAGCGGUGGAACAUGUGGUUUAAUUCGAUGAUACGCGAAGAACCUUACCUGGGUUUGACAUGUUAGUGAAAGUUUUCUGAAAAGAAAUCCCUUUAGAAGCUUGCUUUUAAACACUAUCACAGGUGAUGCAUGGCUGUCGUCAGCUCGUGUCGUGAGAUGUUAGGUUAAGUCCUGCAACGAGCGCAACCCCUAUAUUUAGUUGCCAGCACAUAAUGGUGGGGACUCUAGAUAGACUGCCCGGAAUAACCGGGAGGAAGGUGGGGAUGAUGUCAAGUCAGUAUGUCCCUUAUACCCAGGGCUACACACGUGUUACAAUGGAUAGUACAGAAAGUUGCAAUUCCGCGAGGAGGAGCCAAAUCUUUAAAAACUAUCCCCAGUUCAGAUUGAAGUCUGAAAUUCGACUUCAUGAAGCAGGAAUCGCUAGUAA